rnacentral:ncRNA from 1 species
GAAUUAAAGUAUGGUUUUCAAAAAAAUAGUUUUUAAUUUUCUUUAUAUUUAUAAUUUUAUAAAAUUUUACUAAAAUAGAAGAAAAAAUUUUUAUGUUCAAAAAUUGAAUAAAGAAGUUAAUUAAGAUAUGGCGAAACUUGUGCCAGCCGCCGCGGUUAUACAAGUAAAUCAAUUUUUUUUUUCUUUUUUUUUUAAAAAAAAAUUUUUUUUAAUGUUUUAAAAAUUUGAUUAGGUGAAAUUAGCAAAUUUUAUAAUCAAAAAAUUGAUUUUUUGAAAUUUAUUUAUAAACUAGGAUUAGAUACCCUAUUAUUUUAAGCUAUAAUAUGUUAGUAACUAAAAUUUAUGAAAUCAAAAAAUUUUGGCGGUAUUUUAAGCUUUUUAGAGGAAUUUGCUCUUUAAUGGAUAAAACGCCUUGAUCUUACUUAAUUUUGUUAUGCCAGUUUGUAUACCACUAUAAAAAAUAAUAUUGAAUAAUUAAUUAUUGGAAUUUUUUUUGUAAAAAAAAUAAAAAGUUAAGUCAAGGUGCAGCAUAAAGUUAUGAAUGAAGUGAAUUACAUUGAUUUUUAUUAAUAUUAUAUAUAUGAAAUAAAAUUUAUAGGAUUUAAAAGUAAGUUAGUGAUAUUAUAAUUGACUGAAAAAAGCUCUAAAAUAUGUACAUAUCGCCCGUCGCUCUCUAUUUGGGAUAAGUCGUAACAAAGUAAAAAUACUGGAAAGUGUUUUU